UCUCGUCUUCUCGCCCCCUCCUCCUCCUCGCAACGGACGCCACAGCACGGGCGGGGGCCUCCGCACGCCGAUCCUUCCGCAUCGUUCGCCGCCCCGCCGUUCCUCCCGCCGCUGUUCACCGCGGGAGCCGCCGCACCGUUCGUCGCCCCGCCGUUCCUCGCGCAGCCGUUUGCCGCGGGAGCCGCCGCGCCGUUCGCCGCCCCACAGUUCCUCCGCUCCGUUCGCCGUGGGAGCGCUGCGCCGUUCGCUGCCCCGUCGUCCCUCCCUCUAUGUUCUCUGCGGGAGCCGCCGCGCCCUUCGCCGCCCAGCCGUUGCUCCCGCUCCGUUCGCCGCGGGAGCCGCCACGCCCUUCGCCGUCUCGUCGCAUGGUGGUCGGAGGGGUGAGAUGAUUGGCUCUGGUGGGUUCGGGCAUGUCUACCUCGGGAUGAAUCUGGACACUAGCGAGCUCCUCGCAGUAAAGCAGCUUUGAUUGGAAGCACCAACACGACCUGGGAGAAAGCCCAAGUGUGUACCACUUACAAAUUUAGUUGCUGAGAUUUUUCUUCAUAUAAGGUGAUUUGUGGCUUCUGUUUCUACAAUUAGGCACAUAUAAUAAGAUAACUCAAGGAAGAAGUGCAGCUCCUCAAGAACCUUUUGCACCCCGAUACUGCAGGAGAGAAGGAGGAUAUAAAGGCAUUGUGGAUACAUAUAACAAGACCCAACGGAAGAAGCAAAGGGAGGAAUGCCAACAACAAGAGGCUGCAGCUAAAGGUCAAGACUACAGAGUUGAAGAAGAGAUGCAACAAGUGCAAAGUUUGUGACCUUUUUCAAACAAUAGUGGAAUCCUGAUGUUAUCGACUUAAUUUUUCUGUUAAAUCAAGACUUGAUGAUUGUCUUCUUCACUCCGCAAAGAAUGGCUAGCUGUUUGCUGGUCUACAACCGUGACAUGUAGUGGCAUCUCUCGCCAUGUCUGCACAUGGUGUUUAGGUAUGAUUUACCUUACUGUAUAGUUUUCUAGAUAUUUACCUUACUGUAUAGUUUUCUAUUCUAGAACACUAGACCUUUCUCCACAGCUGAGAUGUUGAGAUGACAAGUUUAAUUCGUGUUUAAUCUUUGCAGAUGCACAUGGUGUUUAGGUAUGAUUUACCUUACUGUACUGUUUGCUAGCUAUUUACCUUACCGUAUAGUUUUCUAUUCUAGAACACUACAACAGGAACCCCCCUCUAGCAACGCAUUUUCCGUAUCUAAAAGCCCAUAUAUGCGUUGCAGGUGUCUUUACAACAAUUUGGGAUGCGUAGUCUUAUCCAGUGUUGCUAGCGCACAACGCAACGCUUAUACUACCGUUGGUAAAAGGACCGUUGCAAGAGUACAACACAUAAAACUAACUUCUACAACAAUUCUAUAUGUUGGUGAUUAACAUUCAUGAAUCCAAACUUCACUACUUGGCAAUAGAGAAUGUGCAACGCUUAAGGUGUUGGUACAUAUGUAAUGUGGAUAUUACAUAUAUAAUGGCGAUAAUUAUGUAUUGCAUAUGCUCCACACAGUGAGCAAAAAAAGUAAGAGAAUAUACCCAAGAGAGGAAAUCAUAUAUUGGAUUAAAAUGUUGGUUUACAAUAGUGGAUAUUACAUGAGGAACAUCAUCCCAAUGUGAUCCAUAAUCUAAA